UGAGCAUUCUCGGGCUGUGCAAGUUCGGUCCGGGGCGAUAAUACGAAGCCACUCUUUUCACAGGGCAAUAAUGUACGACCCUAUAAUUCGCGUCCACUAAUCUGAGUCCCUUGGCUUUCAAUUAUCGGGCUGCGCAUUAUUGGUACGGGUCGAGAAUGCUCGACCCAAUAAUGUACAUCCCAAUAAUUGGAAGCCAAAAACCAGAGACAUUUUUUUUUUUAAGACAGCUGUCAAAAUUAGUAGGGACGUUCUGACAUGAGCUCUUGACAGUUUAAAAAUAAUCGGUUUUUUCUAGUGACAUCUUUCAAUGAUAUUGACAGUGUUGACACGUGUUGGUUUACAUUACGCUUUGUUAUCAUCUUUUUAUUUUUAAUGUAUGGUUUUCAAGAGCUCUAAUACUUGUAAUGUAUGCAUGAAAUCAUAUGGCAAGAGAACCUAAAUCGUUUUGGAACUAUAUGAACUCUAAAAGAAACAGUAGAGACUACAUGAGGGAAAUACAGCAGUAUGUAGAUUAUGAAGAGCACAGAUUGAAUCCAGCAGUGACAUGGGCCAUUUGUUCAAUAGAAUAUCUUGGUUAUAUGGAGAUUGGCUGAGAAAGCAAGGUGUAUGCUACAAGGUGCAGGUUUCUGCAAAAUAUAUUAGGGAGCUGAUACAGGCAGCCAGAAUGAGUCUGCUGGGUCGCCGGCGCCGGACGCGCGACGCGCGCCUCGGGCGUCUGACGUCUUCGUGUCUCUCGCCAGUUGCAGGGGAAGAUGCGAAUAGUUAUAAAGGCGUGCAUGACGUCGCUAAAAAAUGAUAGAUAUAAUACUAAUCUUGUUGCCCGAGGUAUUCCUCAAGUUCACGGGGUAGAUUACAGGUGUAGUGCAUAAUCCUUUACCAUUUUGACGACCACUCUGGCCUAGUAGGUAGUGAUCCUGCUUAUGAAGCCGAUGAUCCUGGGUUCGAAUCUCGCGGUAACGGAAUUUAUUUUAGUGAUGAGUACAGAUAUUUGUAGCUGAGUCAUGGAAGUUUUCUAUGUGGGAAUUAUUCAAUUUGUGUAAGAAUAUCCCUUUAAUACUUGUUUAUUUAUUUUUCGUAUUUUCUCGGAAACGUUGCUAUUCGUCAUGCUACUUCAGUCAACCUCAAUACUUAUUGUACUGAAUGACCGAAAAAGCAUGACACGUUCGUACGUUUUCGUGAAAAUACGUUGGUAAAGGAAAUUGCACUACAUUUUUAAAACCUGUCAGUAAAAUAUGAAAAAGGAAAGUUCAUGAGUUUCAUAAUUUUCUUUCCUCCAACAGCUUCCCAUGGAGCAAAUGUAAACCUUUUGUGCAUGUCAAUAGUUCUCAAAUGGAAUUGGAAUAAGUCAUAAUAUAAUCGUAGAUCAAAAUUAGUACAUUACGAUAUACUCGUAUAAGGAGUGUACCGAAAAAAAACUGUAAACUUCAAAUGAAAAAAAACUGAUGCAGUUGAGAACAAAUUAAGUUUUUUAGAAUAACUACAAUAAAAAGCGACUUUUAAUUUAGAUAAUUGUCACUUUUUUUUAUUUGUUCUGUAGGAGUGAUAGGCAGCUUGUUCCUAGCGCAUUCAGUGGCAGCUUUUUACGGACCCGUUUUUCAUAUUUGCCUGCAUCACCCCCGUCACCUGCUGGAAUUGUUAAUGUUUUUUGGCUGUUUCAUUCUUCUCUUUUAAUACACUUUUGAUUUGAGCCCAAUAAUAGUUGAUAGAACGGCACUGCAGGACGUUUGGAGCUCGUACUCUAUUCUAUGUCAACUGCCAAAUGCGAUUUUUGUAGGAAGGAAAUUGUAUGAUUUUCGAUUUGGCCUAGAAUGAUUAUUAUUCCAAGAUUAAUAAUUCUGGUUUUACGCUGUUCGACUUUACACCGGCAAAUAAAAGAGAUGCCUAAAAAUAUUAAUCAACAUCUCCAGAAAUAAUCAUUUUCUAAAAAUGCAACAUUUUAAAAUAAAUUUAAGAAAGAGAUCAACAUUUAAACACACUUUUAGUGCUUUAUAGGUUUCUAGAACAUAUAAGUCAUUAAGUUACAUUCUUAUUUUGGUAAAAAAAAUAGCAAAAA